UACGGAGGGUGCGAGCGUUGUCCGGAAUCAUUGGGCGUAAAGGGCGCGUAGGUGGCCCGGUCAGUCUUUGGUGAAAGCGCGGGGCUCAACCCUGCGUCGGCCAGGGAUACUGCCGCGGCUCGAGCACUGUAGAGGCAGGCGGAAUUCCGGGUGUAGCGGUGGAAUGCGUAGAGAUCCGGAAGAACACCGGUGGCGAAGGCGGCGACCUGGUCCUUGACUGACGCUGAGGCGCGAAAGCGUGGGGAGCAAACAGG
rnacentral:rRNA from 1 species